rnacentral:rRNA from 1 species
GACGAACGCUGGCGGCGUGCUUAGCACAUGCAAGUCGAACGGAAAGGCCCUGCUUUUGUGGGGUGCUCGAGUGGCGAACGGGUGAGUAACACGUGAGUAACCUGCCCUUGACUUUGGGAUAACUUCAGGAAACUGGGGCUAAUACCGGAUAUGAGCUCCUGCUGCAUGGUGGGGGUUGGAAAGUUUCGGCGGUUGGGGAUGGACUCGCGGCUUAUCAGCUUGUUGGUGGGGUAGUGGCUUACCAAGGCUUUGACGGGUAGCCGGCCUGAGAGGGUGACCGGCCACAUUGGGACUGAGAUACGGCCCAGACGCCAACGGGAGGCAGCAGUGGAGAAUAUUGCAGAAUAAGCGGAAGCCUGAUACAGCAACGCCGCGUGCGGGAUGACGGCCUACGGGUUGUAAACCGCUUUCGCCUGUAACGAAGCGUGAGUGACGGUAAUGAGUAAAGAAGCACCGGCUAACUACGUG